AUUGAACGCUGGCAGCAGGCCUAACACAUGCAAGUCGAGCGGGGUUUUCGGACCUAGCGGCGGACGGGUGAGUAAUGCGUAGGAAGCUGCCCGAUAGAGGGGGAUACCAGUUGGAAACGACUGUUAAUACCGCAUAAUGUCUACGGACCAAAGUGUGGGACCUUCGGGCCACAUGCUAUCGGAUGCGCCUACGUGGGAUU
rnacentral:rRNA from 1 species